rnacentral:rRNA from 1 species
UACAGAGGUGGCAAGCGUUGUUCGGAAUUACUGGGCGUAAAGGGCGCGUAGGCGGCCCGUCAAGUCCCGUGUGAAAGCCCCCGGCUCAACCGGGGAACGGCGCGGGAAACUAGCAGGCUUGAGUUCGGGAGAGGGAAGCGGAAUUCCGGGUGUAGCGGUGAAAUGCGUUGAUAUCAUCAGGAACACCGGAGGCGAAGGCGGCUCACUGGGGAUUUUCUGACGCUGAGGAACGAAAGCCAGGGGAGCGAACGGG